AACGCACGAGACCUGCGGACCUGCGGAAGGAUCAUUAUCGAAACCUUCAAAACUUGGGUAUGCUUGGCCUGGCCUUUUGGCCGUAAGAGCCGGCUCCCAGUCAUCCCCCUUCACACCUUGCUCACCUUCAGAGGGGAAAAAGGAGGGGAGGGUCGUUUGCCUUUUCCCCCUUGACCCCCUUUUUUUUCACAAAAAAAAAGCACCUUAUUGUCACAGAAUGUUUUGUGUAUUUGACAAAAA
rnacentral:misc_RNA from 1 species